UAUCUUUUUAUCGAACCCCACGAUGAGUUUUACUUUUUUUAAAAUUUUAUAUACCUCCGUCAUAAGGGCUAAUAAUAAAUAUUUUACCCUAAAUAGAUAUCUAAAAAGUUAGGUAAAGGUGUAGACUAUAAAAGAGAUAAGAUGGGUUACAUUAAGAUUAACUUAAGGAAUUUUAAAUAAAUUAUUUAAGGAAAAAGGAUUUAUUAGUAAUUUAUUUAUAAUAGUAUUUUUAUAUGAAAUUGAUAAAAAAUGUGUACACAUCGCCCGUCGCUCUAUUAUUG
rnacentral:rRNA from 1 species